GGGGUCAUGGGUCAAUGGGGUCAAUGGGGUCAAUGGGGUCAUUGGGGUCAAUGGGGUCAAUGGGGGUCAUGGGGUCAUGGGUCAAUGGGGUCAUGGGUCAAUGGGGUCAAUGGGUCAAUGGGUCAAUGGGGUCAAUGGGGGCAAUGGGGUCAUGGGUAAAUGGGGUCGUGGGGUCAAUUGGUCAAUGGGGUCAUGGGUCAAUGGGGUUGUGGGGUCAAUGGGUCAAUGGGGUCAAUGGGGUCAUGGGGUCAAUUGGUCAAUGGGGUCAAUGGGGUUAUGGGUCAAUGGGGUCAUGGGGGUCAUGGGUCAAUGGGGUCAUGGGGUCAAUGGGGUUAUGGGGUCAUGGGUCAAUGGGGUCAUGGGGUUAUGGGGUCACGGGGUUAUGGGGGAACAUGGGGUCAGUGAGAGGUCAUGGGGUCACAGGUCAAUGGGGGUCAUGGGGUCAAUGGGGUCAUGGGUCAAUGGGGUCAUGGGGUUAUGGGGUCAAUGGGUCAAUGGGGUCGUGGGGUCAUGGGUCAAUGGGGUCAAUUGGUCAAUGGGGUCAUGGGUCAAUGGGGUCAAUGGGGUCAUGGGUCAAUGGGGUCAAUGGGGUCGUGGCGUCAAUGGGACAAUGGGGUCAUGGGUCAAUGGGGUCAUGGGGUCAGGGGUCAUGUGGGGUCAUGGGGUCACGUGGGGUCAAUGAGGGGUCACGGGGUCAGGGUGGGUGACCUCGUCCUCGUCGGGGUCACCGGGCUCCUCCAGGGGCUCCCACUGCAGCACCAGGCCCUCGGGCUGCAAACCAGUAUAGACCAGUAUGGACCAGUACGGACCAAUACAGACCAGUAUAGACCAGUACUGACCAGUAUGGACCAGUACGGACCAGUAGGAACCCACUGAAAUUGGGAAUCCAACUCCUCUCCCCCCCCAGUGCCCCCAGUCCUUCCCAGUUUCCCCCAUUCUCCCCCAGUUCCCUCCCAGUAUAUCCCAGUGCCCCCCAUUCCCUCCCAGUAUAUCCCAGUUCCCUCCCAGUGCAUCCCAGUGCCCUCCCAGUCCCUCCCAGUGCCCCCCAUUCCCUCCCAGUUCCCUCCCAGUACCUCCCAGUUCCUUCCCAGUUCCUUCCCAGUUCCCUCCCAGUGCCUCCAAUCCCCCUCCCAGUGCUCCCCAGUCCCUCCCAGUUCCUUUCCAGUCCCUCCCAGUGCCCCCCAUUCCCUCCCAGUCUACUCCAGUUCCUUCUCAGUCCCUCCCAGUCCCUCCCCAUUCCCUCCCAGUUCCUUCCCAGUCCCUGCCAGUAUAUCCCAGUUCCCUCCCAUUCCCUCCCAGUGCCUCCCAGUCCCUCCCAGUCCCCUCCCAGCUCCCUCCCAGUCCAUCCCAGUGCCCCCCAUUCCCUCCCAGUCCCUCCCAGUUCCCUCUCAGUGCCUACCAGUACCCUCUCAGUCCAUCCCCGUUCCCUCCCAGUGCCCCCCAUUCCCUCCCAGUCCCUCCCAGUUCUUCCCAGUCCCUCCCAGUGCCUCCAAUCCGCCUCCCAGUGCCUCCCAGUCCCUCCCAGUCUCUCCCAGUCUACCUCAGUCCCCGCCCAGUCCUUCCCAGUACAUCCCAGUUCCUCCCAGUGCCCACAAUUCCCUCCCAGUAUAUCCCAGUUCCCUCCCAGUUCCCUCCCAGUGCCCCCAGUCCCUCCCAGUUCCUUUCCAGUCCCUCCCAGUGCCUCCCAUUCCCUCCCAGUGCCCGCAU
ensembl:lncRNA